GACGAACGCUGGCGGCGUGCCUAAUACAUGCAAGUCGAGCGAACCAAUAAGAAGCUUGCUUUUUGUUGGUUAGCGGCGGACGGGUGAGUAACACGUGGGUAACCUGCCUGUAAGACCGGGAUAACUCCGGGAAACCGGUGCUAAUACCGGAUAGAUUAUCUUUCCGCCUGGAGAGAUAAGGAAAGAUGGCUUUUGCCAUCACUUACAGAUGGGCCCGCGGCGCAUUAGCUAGUUGGUGAGGUAACGGCUCACCAAGGCGACGAUGCGUAGCCGACCUGAGAGGGUGAUCGGCCACACUGGGACUGAGACACGGCCCAGACUCCUACGGGAGGCAGCAGUAGGGAAUCUUCCGCAAUGGACGAAAGUCUGACGGAGCAACGCCGCGUGAGUGAAGAAGGUCUUCGGAUCGUAAAGCUCUGUUGUUAGGGAAGAACAAGUAUCGGAGGAAAUGCCGGUACCUUGACGGUACCUGACGAGAAAGCCACGGCUAACUACGU
rnacentral:rRNA from 1 species